rnacentral:rRNA from 1 species
AACGAACGCUGGCGGCAUGCCUAACACAUGCAAGUCGAACGAGACCUUCGGGUCUAGUGGCGCACGGGUGCGUAACGCGUGGGAACCUGCCCUUAGGUUCGGAAUAACUCCCCGAAAGGGGUGCUAAUACCGGAUAAUGUCUUCGGACCAAAGAUUUAUCGCCUUUGGAUGGGCCGGCGUUGGAUUAGCUAGUUGGUAGGGUAAAAGCCUACCAAGGCGACGAUCCAUAGCUGGUCUGAGAGGAUGAUCAGCCACACUGGGACUGAGACACGGCCCAGACUCCUACGGGAGGCAGCAGUGGGGAAUAUUGGACAAUGGGCGAAAGCCUGAUCCAGCAAUGCCGCGUGAGUGAUGAAGGCCUUAGGGUUGUAAAGCUCUUUUACCCGGGAUGAUAAUGACAGUACCGGGAGAAUAAGCUCCGGCUAACCCCGUG